UGAAAUCGCCGGGCUCAAAAUGGGAAUUGCAUUCGAAAAUGGCAGGCUAGAGUAUUGUAGAGCCGGGGUAGAAUUGCAGGUGUAGCGACGCAAUCCCUACAGAUCUGGAGGAAUCCCGAAGUCGAAGGCGGCCCCCUGGACAAAGACUGACGCCCAGGUNCGAAAGCUNGGGGANCNNNCAC
rnacentral:rRNA from 1 species